GGUUCUAUUUUGUUGGUUUCUAGGACUAAAGUAAUGAUUGAUAGGGACAGUUGGGGGUGCUAGUAUUCAGCGGCCAGAGGUGAAAUUCUUGGAUUCGCUGAAGACUAACUUAUGCGAAAGCAUUCACCAAGGAUGUCUUCUUUAAUCAAGAACGAAAGUUGGGGGAUCGAAGACGAUCAGAUACCGUCGUAGUCUCAACCAUAAACUAUGCCGACUAGGGAUGGGUGAACGUUGCUUAUUCGACUUCAUCCGCACCUUAUGAGAAAUCAAAGUCUUUGGGUUCCGGGGGGAGUAUGGUCGCAAGGCUGAAACUUAAAGGAAUUGACGGAAGGGCACACCAGGAGUGGAGCCUGCGGCUUAAUUUGACUCAACACGGGAAAACUUACCAGGUCCAGACAUAAUAAGGAUUGACAGAUUGAGAG
rnacentral:rRNA from 1 species